GCGGCCGCCUCACUCCCGGAGGAACCCGACGGCGGUGGCGGUCCGGACGACUUGCUGCCGCUCCCGCUGUGGCUGGUGGCCGAGGGCAUCUUCAGACCGCAAGGAGAGAGAAGAAAAAGCGGGAGGAAGGACAAGAGCGGCCAGUCAGGAGACGGACGGGGCGAGACGCGGGACAAAACGCGCAGCGAGCGGUUUACCUAACACUGUAAAGAGAACGUUCAAUGAAAUACAAAGAAAAAGAUGAUUUUUUUGCUCCAAGAGAAUUAUUCCAGCCUUGGGGUGGAGUGGGUGUGGACAGUGAGCAGAAAAACAAGAAACCAAGUUCUGGGAGGAAAUAAAAUGAAUAUAAUCAGUGGAAAAUUCAGCAACGCAAUAUUGUGUGACAACAGUAAAUGACCAAUUUAUAAUUUAAAUUCUAUGAAAAAGAGAUUUAGAAGAGAGUUCUACCAAACCCACUGUUCCCUAGGGAAUAAAAUGAGUAACGCUGACUGGCAACAGUGCAUCCUGAGGGAGCCUGGAGAAACAACAGCAGCCUCCGACCUCAAGAUAUCCUGGUAGUGCUGUGACAGUGUCUUAAGUAGGGCAUGUUGAUAGAUGGAAAAGGACGGCAAACUCGAGGUGCUGAUUCAGGAAGAAGCAGAUUCCAAGAUGGAAGAGAAAAUAUCGAGAGAAAUAUGCCGAGAGAAGAAUCCAGGCAGAAUGGAAUCCAGGCAGAAUGGUGAAUGGAAGGUUCGGGUGACCAAGAGAAAGGAAGGGUGACUCAGCAAGUCUGUAGUUUCAGCUCUUGUAUAGUACGUUAUACUUGAAAAGCUGAAGCCUUUUCUCGGGGAAGAGUCAGAACGGCCUGGAGGGCUUGCUAAAGCGCUGCUGGCUGGGCCCCGCCCGCUGAAUGACUAAUGGAGACUCUGAGGGCCGGCUGGUAAUUUGAGUUUCUAACAAGCCCUGUUUCGAUGCUGGUACAGCCGAUCUAGGGAAAAUAUUGGAACAAGGAAAAAACUAAGAAGAAAUUUUAAAAAGUAAUCAAAGGCGGCCAAGUGAGGUGGCUCACGCCUGUGAUCCU
rnacentral:lncRNA from 1 species